rnacentral:lncRNA from 1 species
UCAUAUCCGCAGGGCGGAGCGAGCACUCAGUAAGAAAGGAUAGCUUUUCUCCCUUUUCUGCUUCGCUCCCAACUAAGAAUGCAGAGUCAGGGAGAUGGCGCAGAGACAAUGCUGCUGUCCAUUGAAGCCCUCCAAAGGUCGGAGAUUCGAUCACAGGACAGCCUGGCCUGGACCAAGUCAGGUUGAUAUGGCUAGGCGGCCUGCUGGCGAGAUAGUGGGAGUGGGCGGUCCGCCCCUCAGGACCUCUGACUUGGACAGAUGACUGGAUGACUCUCUGGGGCAGCAUUCACCGGAACUCAUAUGGAGGGGACUGCCUGAGAAACCAACCUGUGUGCCUGGGUCAGGUUGAUAUGGCUAGGCGGCCUGCUGGCGAGAUAGUGGGAGUGGGCGGCCCGCCCCUCAGGACCUCUGACCUGGACAGAUGACUGGAUGACUCUCUGGGGCAGCAUUCACCGGAACUCAUAUGGAGAGGACUGCCUGAGAAACCAACCUGUGUGCCUGGGUCAGGUUGAUAUGGCUAGGCGGCCUGCUGGCGAGAUAGUGGGAGUGGGCGGUCCGCCCCUCAGGACCUCUGAUUUGGACAGAUGACUGGAUGACUCUCUGGGGCAGCAUUCACCGGAACUCAUAUGGAGGGGACUGCCUGAGAAACCAACCUGUGUGCCUGGGUCAGGUUGAUAUGGCUAGGCGGCCUGCUGGCGAGAUAGUGGGAGUGGGCGGUCCGCCCCUCAGGACCUCUGACUUGGACAGAUGACUGGAUGACUCUCUGGGGCAGCAUUCACCGGAACUCAUAUGGAGGGGGCUGCCUGAGAAACCAACCUGUGUGCCUGGGUCAGGUUGAUAUGGCUAGGCGGCCUGCUGGCGAGAUAGUGGGAGUGGGCGGUCCGCCCCUCAGGACCUCUGACUUGGACAGAUGACUGGAUGACUCUCUGGGGCAGCAUUCACCGGAACUCAUAUGGAGGGGGCUGCCUGAGAAACCAACCUGUGUGCCUGGGUCAGGUUGAUAUGGCUAGGCGGCCUGCUGGCGAGAUAGUGGGAGUGGGCGGUCCGCCCCUCAGGACCUCUGACUUGGACAGAUGACUGGAUGACUCUCUGGGGCAGCAUUCACCGGAACUCAUAUGGAGGGGGCUGCCUGAGAAACCAACCUGUGUGCCUGGGUCAGGUUGAUAUGGCUAGGCGGCCUGCUGGCGAGAUAGUGGGAGUGGGCGGUCCGCCCCUCAGGACCUCUGACUUGGACAGAUGACUGGAUGACUCUCUGGGGCAGCAUUCACCGGAACUCAUAUGGAGGGGGCUGCCUGAGAAACCAACCUGUGUGCCUGGCCCACCACCUACCAGAGGUAUUGGAAAAGAACGGAUACGGAGGAAGUGGACCCAUUUAGAGGUGAUUAUUUGGAGCAAAUCCCAUCUGCUUUGUCAGUUAUUGAGCAGUUCCGUUCAUAGGCUGGCAAUGGCAGCUUGAUCCACUCUCAAAGUCUUCAUGGAUACACCAGCAGUCCGUUCAGUAAAGUCCAGAUAGCAGCAGUUGCACGACCUAGCAGGAACAACCAGGCCUCAGCUGAAGACAGUAGUCUACAGGAGGCAUUGGACUAGCAUGAAUGUCAGGAGAAACUUACAGCUGUGCCUCUCUUAAGGAAGUGAAGAUCAGUGAAGACAGGAGACCAAAAGGCGUUUAGCUGUGCAAGCAAGCCAAGCCCUUCUCCCAGUCCCUCCAAACAUCACUAGUCCUCCACAGGACUUGUCUCACCAUGUGUUGCCUCAGCAAAACUCACCUUUACAAACACAGCUUUGAAGGCCAGUUUUUUGAGUUAAUAAUGUAAACAAAUGUUAUUCUACGACAAACGUAGAAUUCAAGAGAAAAAUGGAGUAAUGAGUAAACCAGACAUUAAAAAAGAUUCUAUAAAUGAUCGAAUUACCUUUAGGCUACUGCAGCUUAGGUAUAAUGUAAGGGGAGUAAUAAUCUACAAAUAAGCAAAUGAGCCAAGAUGACCAAGAUGGAAAUGGUUUGAUUAGGAAUUUGAUUAGGGAAGUUCUGCCAAGGCAGGGAUAGUUGGGGUGGACACCUUUAGUCCCAGCACUGGGGCUUUAUGCAUGCUAAGGACGAGCUCUAUUGCUGGGCCCCACGCUCUAGAGUCAAUGCUCUAAAAUACUGCACAAACUAAUUCUCAGACAUUAACUGCAGGAAGAAUGCUCUAAUCCUAGAUGAGUGUUUUCAAAACAAAACUUAGCAGCGAAGACCAAAAAAUACAGAAAAAGCACCCAAAACAGACGAAAUGCCAGUUCAUCAGGAAGCCAAAACUUGACAGAAAUAUCUCUCAAAUAACAUUUAAUCUCUCUCCCUUUGUUCUAAUCCUGUCCCCACCCAGCAACCACCUGAUGUGUAAUUUGGUUUUCUAAGUGACCAUAGCCAUCGGUCAGAGACACUAAGCUGGGCCCAAAUAAAAGAAGAAAAUAAAUAAGAAGUUAAAUUAAGUUAAAACCCUUGGGUCUCACUUGAACCAAUAUCUCUUAAAUUUUUGUACAUCGUUGACACCCCUGAGGAUAUUUACAUUUUUCACCUUUAGCGACUAGAAUGUGUAUCAUCUAGCCAGGCAAUGGUACACACCUUUCUUUAAUCCCAAUACUCAGGAGGCAGAGGCAGGUAGAUCCCAGUGUUUGAGGCCAGCCUGGUCUACAGAGAGAGCCUAGGUAGGCCAGGGUUACACAGAGAAACCAAGUCCUAAGAAAAGAGAGGUGUGGGGAAGGGAGAAAUUGUGUAUCACUGUAUGAUCUUUCUUUCCUAAGUUCUACUUGGCUACCUUCUUGUAUGUUCUCAGUAGAUGCUAAUCCUAUUUACAUUGUGGCAUUUUGGUGCUUGUAUUAAGCAAAUCACAAUGGGCCUUCCUUAGGACUGGACUGGAAGGGAACAAUUUCAAUGUCUUUAAGAAGGCAGAGAGAGCCAGAAAAUGGCCGCGGCUAAGAAUUAAGUUUACAAAACCUUCCAGCUGGUAAAUUCCUUACAAAGUACAAAACAGUGUGUAAUUAUUUUCCAAGCGUUUUGUGUGAUUGUCUUUCCAAUCUCCAGUUUAAAAAAGCAGAAAUCAAACCUAGCAGUACAUCUCUGAAGCAAUGACAGCAAUCUAACGUUCCAGAGAAAUGAGGGAGCACGCUGGUUUCACCAGAAUCCAUCCUACCAGUAACGUUAUUCACCGAGAGCUAAGGUCAUGGUUGAUGGUGAACUUUUCCCAUUCUGAAUUUGAUAUGAACAUAACAUUUUAAUAAUAUGAGCAUCUAAGAAACAGACCCAGAUCAAAAGCGGUUUUAACUGGAAACUAAAAUUGCAAUCAGCAGGCACGAUGGUACCUCUUUAUUUUCUCAUUAAAGCUGCCAACAUUCUGGAACCCA